AUCAUAGCCAUGUAGACACAACAUAGAGAAGCUCCCCACCUGGCUCUCAGCCACUAUUGUCUGUGUAGGUAUAAAUGUAACACUGACCCUGUGAGGGGCUGCUGAAUAAAGCCAUGUCUCAACUACCUGCUGUCUCUCGAGUGUUCUUCCAGCUCCCUGCCCCACAUCCACUCACUCCCCUCAGCCCUCAGCUGGGGCUGGAACCUGACCCUGAGCACGACAACUGGCGAAGUCGGCAGGAUGAGGUGAGUGAGUCUUCAGCCUUUGAGAAUCCCGGGUCUGCUAUGUGGCCGCAGCAUGGGCUGUGGUACCCAGUGGCAGAGGUGCUGCUUGGAUGGGCCCCAGUGGAAAUAUGGGAGGCAGUAACGGGUCUCCUGCGAGUGUGGAGAAGGCACUGAAGCAGCUGGAAGCUCACAGCACCAAGAAGGAAUGCACCUUCGCUGGCGGAGUCGGAUGAGCAUUUCUGACUGCACUAGGCAGAGUACAUGCUCAGUCCCACAGGACACUUUGGAGGCCUGCCGGAAGUGCCAGGCAUGCGCCCAGGCAUACCCCAGACGGAGACAGCUGCCCACUGUAACACAGCGAGUGACGUGGUAGAUUGGCGGCUCCAACAGCAUCGUAGACUGGGCCCACACCUACGCCGAGGUGACCAAUGUCUCCAACUGUUGGAUCUGCACCGCCCUUCCAGCAGCAGCUGCAGACAGCUGGCCCUGGCAUGUGCAUCCAGCUUCUGUGAAGAACCGGACAUAGCUAGAGACUUGAGGUCCCACAGACAAUGCGUGGGAUGCAACACAGUGGGCUUUGGAUGGGGGCAUGGCAAACCCCAUGGCGAGCCUGCCCCCUGGCUGACUCGCAGUGUCCAUGAUGAAUGGGGCUGGUUAAUGGGAAACACAUAGUGCCCCCAUUGCAGGUACCAUGAUGUAUAGAGAAGCACUGGGGUAAUGUCACUGUAGGAUGGUUGCCUGCUGAGGUUUGUGCAAAUAAAACAUGUGUCACCACACCAAGGGUGUGGAGGAACAAGCGACCUUACCAAGGCCGGGCCCCCAUGGACUUUGUGCCCCCUGGGAAUUUAUGGGUCUGUGGGGACACAGGAUGGCCAAAUCUGCCAGCCAAUUGGACUGGACGUUGUACCUGGGGGUGGCCUUAUGUGCCUGCCAUCAUGCUUCCCACAUUGCCUAGUUGCCCACAUAAUUGGGAGGCACUGCAUUCCCACUUUUUCUGAGUGCAGGGCACCCCCUGGUGGUUUUAUCCCUUAGCAAUACGUAUCCCUGGAGCAGGUGUCAUUACUUUGGAAAAGCAGGUUACAGCCUUUGCAGAGCACACAGCUGGGGCCCUAAAUUACACCCAAGUUGCUCUCCUUUUGUUAACUAAUGAAGUUGACCAGGUCAGGAAGGUGGUGCUGCAAAACACGAUGGCCUUAGACAUAGCCUUAGACAUGCAAGGACAUAGGUGGCCCCUGUGCCUUGUAGGGACACAAUGUUGUACAUUUAUCCCUGAAAACCACUGGAAUGUAACGGCAGCUUUGCAAGGGGUGUCAUAGGAGAUUAAGGCAAUUGAGCACCUUACUGAUGACCCCCUACAGAGAUGGUGGGCGUCUUUUGGGCUCUGGCCUAUGUUGGGCUCUCAUAAUCAUAAGUAGCAUAGCAGGAUAUUCCUGGUAGGUUGUUGCUCUCUGUGUGGUUGCUGUGGCCUAUGGGUCCAGGGUACUGCCAUAUGUGCACAGGUCCCCACCAAGAGGAUCCCCUUGGCCUAGAGGAUGGAGUGUAAGGAACAUGGCUGUGCUGUAGCCAAGCAGGCAUAGGGCAGCAGGCAUAGGCCAAGGUAAACAGCCUAAAUGACUCAGAGGGAUUGGGGUGCACGCGCACACUCCCAUGUCUCAUACAAUCAUAGCCAUGUAGACACAACAUAGAGAAGCUCCCCACCUGGCUCUCAGUCACUAAUGUCUGUGUAGGUAUAAAUGUAACACUGACCCUGUGAGGGGCUGCUGAAUAAAGCCAUGUCUCAUCUACC
rnacentral:lncRNA from 10 species